rnacentral:lncRNA from 1 species
CUCAUCUGUAAAAUGGAGAUAAUAAUAUAGUUCGUACUUGGGGGAGGAGCGAUAGGAGAAGAAGACAAUUUAAAAUAAGAGGAAUGAGGUAGCCCUCUAAGGGUUCAAACUGUAAAAUGAGCAUGUGACAGACCAAAGCAGAGAAAGGCAAAGCCACAUUAAGGUGACAGAAAAAGUACCUGGGCUGAGCAAGAGUUUGACUAAAAGUAUUAACAUCUCCAAAGAAGGAAAUGGUGCAAGCACGGGGGGCUUGAUGGGAAAUGGAAGCACAACAGGAAGGAGGGCCGGGGGCAGUGCCUCUCCCAGUGAGUUCAUGCAUGGCUUACCGCAGACCUAGAGAAUGACGGUCCCCUGGACAAGACCACACCUCCUGCGGCCAUCUUAAGAUGAGCUAUUCAUAUUCCAAACUUCUAACUCUAUGCUUUGGUUCCACACCCAGCAACCAGUCUUCAGCUUGGCUUUUUCUACUGGGGAACACUCUGCUCAUUUAGAGUUUCCCCUAGGUCAGCCCCAGAAGAAUGUGUUGGCCGUACUUGGAGAGGAAGACCAUGGUGUUCACAGAGCCUUUCCCAGGCGAGAAGACAGAGGAGGAACUCUGUUGCCUGAGCAGUGUUCUCUGACAGCAGCGAGCUUCUGUUCUGCCAGGAACCUGCCGGCUCCCAGGUCAAUCAGGCUUGGGUCAAGAGGCCAUCACACAGUUCAUAGGGAUGCUGUUCACAAGGUUGCACUUCUGUUGGAAAAUUCUCUGACCAGCUCACCUGGAGCAGAAAGCAGAACCUCCAGAAUCCCUGCAUUGGCUGCCACUCACGGUGUGGAGGAAAUGGUAAGCAUACAAUCAUCCCAGAGGGAGAAGAAUCGGGAACCUAGGAGAAAUUCAAGACAGAGGGUAAGGAGAGAGAAGAGACAGGGAAAGGAGACCCAAGAGACAGCAUGCAAGGAUUUGAGUGUCUGUGAGGCUCGCAGCUGACUCUUGGGUUCCCCAGUUCUCCCAUUGUAACUGGUAAUUUAUCUGCCUCCUCCUCUUCCAUCUGUAAGCUCUUGGCAGGCAAGGCCCACACCUCAAUCACAUUCUGACUUCCCUGCAUCUAAUAGGGGACCCUGCCCACGCUCCCUAAAUAGCAGAGAGUUACUGAGCAUUUCUUCCUGAUAGGUGCUCGUCUAAUAUAUGAGUGUAGAUGAAUGUAUAAAAUGAUGCUGUUUCCAUAUAGGAACACAUUUAGUCCUAACAGACACCCAGUGAGGUAGGUGUUAUUAGAUCCAUUUUACAAUUUUACAGAAGAAGAAACCAAAGCACUAAAGAUGCAGGAACUCUGAUGGAACCACAUUGAGCUCAUCUGAAAUCCUAGCUCUUAAUCAAAUAUGGCCCCCAUUCUUGAGAAACUGUUUCUCUGACUUGCAGCCCACCACACCAAUAUAGUUCUUUUGUUCUUGUUCUAUAAAUUCAAUGGAUGGGAAAAGAAAAAAGUAAGCUAAUAGUUAUUAAGCGAUUUUUUAUGUGCCAAGCACUUGACAUGUG